rnacentral:rRNA from 1 species
GUGAACAAUUAAGGGCGCGCGGUGGAUGCCUAGGCUCUCGGAGGCGAAGAAGGACGCGAUAAGCCGCGAUAGUCCACGGCGAGGUGCAAGUAACCCUUGACCCGUGGGUUUCCGAAUGGGGCAACCCGGCCGUCUAGAUGACGGUCAUGCAUUAUCAUGCAGGCGAACGCGGGGAACUGAAACAUCUCAUUACCCGCAGGAGAAGAAAACAAAAUGUGAUUCCCCCAGUAGUGGCGAGCGAACGGGGAAGAGCCCAAACCGGUAGCGUUUCGGCGAUACCGGGGUCAUGGGACCACGCCAUUCGAAACAAGAUGAAGUGCAAUUACCUGGAAAGGUAAGCCGCGGAGGGUGAUAGCCCCGUGCACGUCAAUUCUUGUGGAGAUAGUGGAAUCCCGAGUAGGGCGGGACACGAGAAAUCCUGCCUGAAUUCGCCAGGACCUCCUGGCAAGGCUAAAUACUCCCGAGAGACCGAUAGUGAACCAGUACCGCGAGGGAAAGGUGAAAAGUACCCCGAGCAGGGGGGUGAAAUAGACCCUGAACCCGCGCGCCUACAAGCGGUCGGAGCUGCCUUGUGCAGUGACGGCGUGCCUUUUGCAUAAUGAGCCUACGAGUUAGUCGUCACCAGCGAGGUUAAGGGCUUCAGGCCCGAUAGCCGAAGUGAAAGCGAGCCUUAACAGGGCGUAAAGUUGGUGGCGCUAGACGCGAAACCUUGUGAUCUACCCACGAGCAGGUUGAAGUCGCGGUAACACGUGAUGGAGGACCGAACCGGUAAACGUUGAAAAGUUUUCGGAUGACUCGCGGGUAGGGGUGAAAGGCCAAUCAAACUGGGAAAUAGCUCGUACUCUCCGAAAUGCAUUUCGGUGCAGCCUGUGAUGUUCUGUUCCAGAGGUAGAGCUACUGGUUGGACGCGAGGGCUUCACCGCCUAUCAAAUCCGGAUAAACUCCGAAUGCUGGAACACGAAAUCAUGGAGUGAGCCCGCGGGUGCUAAGGUCCGCGGACGAGAGGGAAAGAACCCGGACCACCGGCUAAGGUCCCGGAUGGACAGUUAAGUUGAUCAAACGAGGUGGGAUCGCGGAGACAGCUAGGAUGUUGGCUUGGAAGCAGCCAUUCAUUUAAAGAGUGCGUAACAGCUCACUAGUCGAGCGAUCCCGCGUGGAUAAUACACGGGCAUCAAACUGUCAACCGAAGCCGUGGGGUCAGCGAGAAGCUGACCGGUAGGAGAGCAUUCCUGCCAGCGUUGAAGGUCACCCGCGAGAGUGACUGGAGCGGCAUGAAAAGCAAAUGUAGGCAUAAGUAACGAUAAUGGGGGCGAGAACCCCCCACGCCGCAAGACCAAGGCUUCCCCGGCAAUGUCAAUCAGCCGGGGGUCAGCCGGCCUCUAAGGCUAACCCGAAGGGGGAUGCCGACGAGAAACGGGUUAACAUUCCCGUGCUUCUCGUCACCGUGACGCGGUGACGGGGUGAUGAAUGGACCGCGCGCUGACGGAAUAGCGCGUUGAAGGCCGUACCCUUCGAGGGUGGUAGUCAAGCACGCCACCCGAGGCGAUAGCCGAUAGUACCACGAGACUCCGGUCGAGUGGAUAGCGUCCAGGCAAUUUACCCCCGAGAAAACCCGCUAAACUUCAAGUGACGAGGAACCGUACUGUAAACGGACACACGUGGUCGGGUAGAACAUACCAAGGCGCUCGAGUGAUUCAUGGUCAAGGAACUAGGCAAAAUAGUCCUGUAACUUCGGGAAAAAGGACGCUCUAGUGAUAGAGCCGCAGAGUAAUGGCCCAGGCGACUGUUUACCAAAAACACAUGGCUAUGCCAAAUCGAAAGAUGACGUAUAUGGCCUGACACCUGCCCGGUGCCGGAAGGUUAAGAGGAGAGCUCAUCGGAAACGAGAAGGUUUGAAUUGAAGCCCCGGUAAACGGCGGCCGUAACUAUAACGGUCCUAAGGUAGCGAAAUUCCUUGUCGGGUAAGUUCCG